UAUGAACUCAUUCACUCUCUCAUGUAAUGUUUUAGUUUAGCCCUCUACGUUUUGUUUAUCUGCAGUGCCUCUGAUCACUGGAACUUAAUGGCUUCCUCUUCUUCUUCUUCUUCUUCUUCCACUACUCCUAAACUAAAGUACGAAGUUUUUCUUAGUUUCCGAGAUGAGGAGACCCAGAAAAACUUUAGAAGCCAUCUGUAUGAUGCCUUCAGCCGGGAAAACAUUAAUACUUUCAUUGAUGAUAAACUUAACAGAGGAGAAGAAAUUUCUCCAGCUCUUUUGACUGCAAUUGAACAGUCAAAGAUCUCGGUUAUCAUUCUCUCUAAAGGGUACGGUUCUUCGAGCUGGUGUCUCAAAGAACUUGAAAAGAUUGUUGAGUGCAAGAAAAAGUAUAGUCAGAUUCUGAUUCCGAUCUUUUAUCACGUAGAUCCAUCAGAUGUAAGGAAACAAACUGGGGAUUUUGGGAAAGCUUUUUCUCAGCUUGAAGAGCGUUUUAAGGUUGAUGAUCCAGAGAUGUUGCAGAGAUGGAAGACUGCUUUGACGGACAUAGGCAACCUAUCUGGCUUUACUUCAGAUAACACUAGGGAUGAAGCAUCACUUGUAAAGAAUAUUGUCGAAAAUAUUUUGAAGAAAUUGAAUGAUGAGUGCUCAGAAAUUGACAAUGAGAACCCAGUUGGACUAGAUUCAACAAUCGAGCAAAUUGAAAAUUUAUUAUGUACCAAAGGUGUUCGUAGACUAGGAAUUUGGGGCAUUGGUGCUAUAGGUAAAACAACUCUUGCUUGUGCUGUAAUCAGAAAAAUCUCUGAAAAGUUUGCAGCUCAUUACUUCAUUCAGAAUAUUAGAGAAGAAUCAGAAAAAAGCGGGGGAUUAAAUGACUUGCACCGAAGUCUUAUGUCUGCAGUUUUUGGAGAUAAAUAUCCUGGAAUUGAAUUCACCUUGAAAAGAAAAAGGCUUGGUAAUGUUCUUAUUGUGCUUGAUGAUGUGACAAAAGUAAAACAAAAGGAAGAAUUAAUGAAAAAUUUUUACUUGGACCCAGAUAGUCGAAUAAUCAUAACGGCAAGGGAUGAACAUGUACUAGAAGAAUGUGAAGUGGAUCCCAAACACAUAAUCAAGAUGGUUGGAUUAUCUGAUGAUGAAGCUUUUCAACUUUUUAACCAUUAUGCCUUUCGAGGAAACAGUCCAACAGAAGAUUGUAUUGAGCUAUCAUCAAGGGCAGUAGCAUAUGCUGAAGGUGUUCCUCUUGCUCUUAGAGUUUUAGGUUCCUCUCUAUUUGGAAAGACAAAAAAAGUUUGGGAAAGUACUCUAGAAAAUUUGAAAAGAGAUCCUGAUAUGGAUAUCCAUAAUGUGUUAAAAGUAAGUUAUGAUGGGCUAGAUGGUAAGCAAAAGGAAGUAUUUUUGGAUAUUGCAUGUUUCUUUAAAGGGUGUGAAAGAGCUCUUAUAGAAGAAGUCUUGGAUGCCAAUUAUGGCUUUGGCUCACAUAAUUAUAUAAAUGUUCUCAUUGAAAGGUCUCUCAUAACUACCCUAUCCAAAAUCAUAACAAUGCAUGAUUUACUUCAAGCAAUGGGAAGAGAAAUUGUUCGGCAAGAAUCAAGUAAUAAUCCUGCCAAAUGUAGUCGGUUAUGGGAUCAUGAGGAAAUCUAUUCAGUAUUGACCACAAAUAAGGGGAAAGGAACUAUUCGUAGCAUAAGCCUGGAUAUGUCUAAAGCAAAAGAGAUACGUUUACGACCUAAAGCUUUCAACAAGAUGCAUAACCUAAGGUUCUUGAAAGCCUACGGCUUCACGCAUGGUAACAAGGUAUAUGGUUUUGAACACCUUGAAUUUGAUUUCUCGGAGCUAAGGUACCUUAGUUGGUUUAAUUAUUCUGCCAAAUCAUUGCCACAAUAUUUUAAUCCAGAGAACCUUGUUGCACUCUACCUGACUGAUAGCAAACUUGAACGACUUUGGACUAGUGUCAAGAAUCUUAAUAAUUUGAAACAUAUUGACCUCAGUCACUCCAAGCAUCUACUCGAAAUGCCAAAUCUCUUAUUAUGUCCAAAUCUUAAGAGCUUGAUUCUACAAGGUUGUAUAAAUUUGCACGAGGAUUUCUCAUCUAUCCGUUAUCUCAAUAAGCUUGUCCUCUUGAAUCUAAAAGAAUGUAAAAGCUUUGAAAGUCUUCCAAUCAACCCUGGUUGGAAAUAUCUUCAAAGACUUAUUCUCUCCAAGUGUUCCAAUCUCAAAACAGUUCCACAUAUCCCCGAUACGGUAGAAGAGUUAUAUUUAGAUGGAACUGGAAUAAAAGACUUGUCGUCAUUAAAGCAUCUUUCAAACUUAGAAAUAUUGAAUCUUGAAAAUUGUUCAGAGCUAGAGAGUCUCCCACAGAGCAUUGGUGAGUCAGAAAAUCUUCGAAUAGUUAUUCUCUCCAAUUGUUCAAAGAUCAAAACAGUUCCAUGCAUCCCUAGAAGUGUAGAAGAAUUAUAUUUAGAUGGAACUGCAAUUGAAGAAUUGCCACCAUUAGAGCAUCUGUCUAAGCUAGUGAUAUUGAGUCUUAAAAAUUGUUUAAGACUAGAGAGUCUCACAGAGAGCAUUUGUGAGGUUAAAUCUCUUCAAUGUCUUUAUCUUUCAGGUUCUUCAAAACUUGACAGAUUGCCUAAUGGCCUGAAAAAUUUAAAAGCACUGGAGGAACUUGAAGUGGAAGGAGUUGGUAUAACAGAUAUAUCGUCAUUGAGUUUAACAUGUUUGAACAACCUUAAGAAAUUAUCUCUCAUGAGAUGUGGGCUUCAGAAGCCACCAGUAAAUCUGGCCUGCCACAAACUGGAGCAGCUAAAUCUGGAAAACUGUUGUAUUGAAGUGUUACCCAAAAAUCUUGGCGAAUUACACUCACUGACAUUUCUAUAUCUUGGCGGAAACAAUUUUGAUAGUCUGCCAGACAGUAUCAAAGACCUCUCUAUGUUGUAUGAACUUGAUUUAAGCAAUUGCGAAAGGCUGAAAUCCAUACCGCAACUUCCAGAUAACUCACUACGUAUACAAGCAAAGGGUUGCACAUCACUGGAAGCGGUAUCAGGUUUACCAACUCAAUGCCUAAGUAUGGGGACUGACAACGAGGAAAUUAGCUUCAUCAAUUGUUGCAAUCUGAAACUUGAUUUAACAGAUACUCUGCCGAAUAUUGAGAGAAAUGCAGAUCUAUGGUUUAGUUCUGAAGAAAACACAACAUUUUUGCUGUCAAGGGUUAACCUGGAAAAGGCAUAUAGCCUGGCAAAGGCAUAUAGCCCGCCAAUGGCAUAUAGCCUGGCAAAGGCAUAUAGCCUCCUGCCAAAGGCAUAUAGCCUGGCAAAGGCAUAUAGCCUGCCUAAGGCUUCUAUAUGUUACCCUGGAAGCGAAAUUCCAGCUUGGUUUACCUUUACAAGUCAGAAUGGUCAUAUAGAGUUUCCAUCAGAUUGGCUCAAUGAUGACUUAAUUGGUUUUGCUUUUUGCGCUGUUGCAUCAUUCCGAGACUAUGAAGAGGCUGGAGCUUUGCAAGUUCGUUGUCAUCUGUUUGUUAACGGGGUGUUCGUUUCUGCUGGCUGUUUGUUUAAUGGAUAUGGGCAUGAGGUUAUUGAAUCAGAUCAUGUAUUCUUAGGAUAUGAUUAUGAUAUCAUGUCCUUGGAAUUGCUCUCUGUCAGAUUGAAUAGCAAGGACUACGUGGAGUUCUUUGUUGAGCAUGAAAGUACGAAUUGCAAAGAAAAAAGGAAGGUGAAAAAGUGUGGAGUCAGAUUGUUGUACACCAAAUAUAAUGAUAAGAAAACAGAUGCAAGAGUGAAAAGAGACCGGAGAUUUCAAACUAUAAAAGGCUGUUUGAGGUGCCAUCUCCAUUGCUGCGUGAGGUGCUAUCUCCAUUGCUGCGUGAAACAUGAUGAAAUGGACGAAUAUAAACCAUCUGAAAUUUUAAAUGCCUGGUCCCCGCAUCCAGAAAUAUACAAGCCACCAAUAAGAAGGGAUUAUUCAGUGUAUAUCUGGUUUAAAGUGUAUGCACACCUUGUGCAACAGAAGCGCAUGGACCAGGCGUCGAAAUUGGAGGUUAAUUGGAACCUUCUUAAAGGAAAGGCUGGCUUGAUCUUGUGUGAAUAUGCUAAUGAUUUAGCUGAAAUCUUGGCGCAUGGACACAUAUUCUGAUGACUGUCAUCUCCAUGUUUUCUGGAUUUUCUUCCCUGGAAUCGAAUUAUGUUAGCGGACUACUUAUUUCUGCAUUCUGAGGCUGCUUUCGUCUUUUAUUUUGCAUUAUUAGAUGCCCAGCCAAGUGUUGAGUUGUUGGUGUGAGUUUCUAUUAAUUGGUAUUAGAGUAUGAUCUUGUGUCCAUGGGAUGUCGCCUACCUAGCAGGCUGACCUUGGGCCCGGACUGCUACCCCAAGAAAGGGCAUGGAGGCUCGAGGGAAAGGGGAUCCGCGUAGUCAACCAAGGGAUAAAGAAGCCGAUGUGGAAUCGGUUACGGAAGCAUAGUGGAAUAUUAGAAUCCCACAUUAAAAGGGACAAUGGUGGGCAUUUUGGUUUAUAAAGGGUUUGGAAAACCUCAUUUGGCAAGCUUGUUUUUCAAGAAGAGUUCAACUCAAGCCUGUAAAAGGUUCAUUGCCCAACUCAAUUGUUGAGUUGCUAGAGUCAGUUACUAUCAGAUUUGUUUCCAGAUAGUUAGACUUCUUAUCAAAAUUGCAUUCAAUAUUAUCACAGAUAUUUCCAGAUUUCUACAUAACAUUUUACCGCCGGAUGGUUUUUCUGUUGCGCUUCAACAGAGUUACCAUCUACUUUGUCUGAAGUUUGGUUUGCUGGCAGUGGAAUGAUGUUGAUUACUCUUUUCACUGUUGUAAACUGCCUUUACUGGUUUAUUCUGGUCUUCUUAUGAUGUUGU